AAUCAACGCUGGCGGCGUGCCUCAGACAUGCAAGUCGAACGCGAAAGUUCCCUUCGGGGGCGAGUAGAGUGGCGCACGGGUGAGUAACACGUAGGUAAUCUACCUUUGGGUGGGGAAUAACAGCCGGAAACGGCUGCUAAUACCGCAUAAUGCAGCGGCUCGACAUCGAGACAGUUGUUAAAGCGGGGGAUCGCAAGACCUCGCGCCUAAAGAGGAGCCUGCGGCGGAUUAGCUUGUUGGUGAGGUAAUGGCUCACCAAGGCAUCGAUCCGUAGCCGGCCUGAGAGGGCGGCCGGCCACACUGACACUGACAUACGGGUCAGACUCCUACGGGA
rnacentral:rRNA from 1 species